AAUUUCUAUCUGAGAGGGUUAGGGUUGAUAAGUUGUCCUCAAGAACUUAUCAUCAUGAGGACAACUUCUAUCAUCGAUAGAAGGGUUUAAAAUAGAAUUGACUUUACUCAUAAAACAAUCUCCACAUUUUUCUCAGAUUCUCCAUUUUCCACAUUGUGCCACAUUUUGUUGCCAUAGAACCAAAUAGCAACAACAAGAACUAAUGCCUUCUUUGUGAAUAUGCACAAUACUUCUAAAAGUCAGUUUUUAAUUGACAUGAUUUAAUACACACUGGAAUGCAGUGGGUUUAAUAAGUCUAACCUGAACAGGGAUCAUUUUAAAAUAUAAAGUCAUGUCACCUCAUUCUUGAUUAACCUUCUGCUCAGAUUUGGGACGUGGUGGAGCAUGGAGACAUUGGCUGCACCCGUGGGGGAGGAUGAGAUGCUCAGGGGGUGUUUUCAGAUGCAGGACUGCUGCAGGACUGCUUUAGGACUGCUUUAGGACUGCUUUACUCCUCCAGUACUGGGUUCAAAACUACAACCAGACAAACCGUGCAGUGUCCAGGCAGUACCAGAAGGAGACGCUCUGCUGAACUGUUGAAGCGUAAAGCUCAGCUGGUUGCCUGCUAAUCUUGAUUUGGAAGUAGAGGCUCGAGGAAAUGGACAAGGAAUACUAGAGCACAGGGAAAGACAACCACGGGUUGUGACCUAUUACAAUCAGCUGCAUGAGGUGGAAGAGAAAAUGCCCUGCAAGCACUUUGAUCUCAACGUCUCUUUUGAAGGAUCCAGCGGUAGAUCAAAUUCUCACACUAUAUCACAUAUUUUACACGACGUCCUUCAGACGGGUGACAAAUUAAAGCAAAUGCACUUUAACAAAAAAAAACAAAGCAUUUAGACUGCUGACCUGAGUAAAUUUAGUAAAAUGAAUUUAUAAAACACUCACAUACAAUCUCUUAAAAUACAUACGUUUUGCAUACAUCACAAUGCAAGGACUGUGUGUGCUCAUCUUCAGGGACUUUUUGUUCGUAUUAUUUUUGUUAAGAUCAAAUGAAUACAUUAUUGUUAAGAUCAAAAUAACACAUUGGAGCAUAAUUACAUCAAAUACACUAUUACAUACGCUCUAGCCCACCAUAUAAUAUAUACAGCUGUACAUUAAUUAAUGCUUUGCUACUGUCCCGGACCAGAAAAGCCUCCAGCAGAUGUAGAAAAGUCAGACAAGAUCAAGUAGUUGUUGUUGUUAUACGUGUACACGACUGUGCAAAACGUUAGAUCGGCAGCAAUAUCGACUACCUUAUUACAAAUUGCAGGGCACAGUUUCACAGCUUUGGGUAGUUCAAAAUAUCUUGUGCCAGUUCCUCUGUGGACUGACACUCUGUACAUUAUCUGAUAGGUACUUUAUUCAUUCCCUUAGGGAGAUUCAAGGUAUGCAUGAGCUCACGUGUUACCUAGAAGAUAGAGGGCGACUGUGCGAAUGAGCAUGCAACAGACAUCCCAAAUCUGCCUAAAAUGCUGGUAUUUACAGAGGGCUCUAGGACCCAGAGACGUCAGGAUGGUGGUUCUUGAUAUCAGUCUACCAACUGGAUUCACCCCAGAAAACUCUGACCUGGAGAUGCUGUCCAAUUCAGUGCAUCGUUACAUCAGUAACUUCCAGAUUGUAGACAACCUGAGUGACAGAGGCUCCCUGAUCAUUCACCUGUUCAAAGUAACAUCACUGUAUUUAUAAUUAUUAUUCUAUAUCAUAUCAUUUUAUGUUAUUCAUAUGCUUUUCUUUUUUUCCAAGAAGCAGGUUUCUCAAUGCUCAGUAAAUAAGUCUUUAUGACGACAGUCAACAAUCUGAGGCAGUUUUAGGCUAUUACACAAAACCAGCUUAUUGGUACCAAAGCCACGGUUCAGAACUCAGACUUGCUAAAUCAGUGUUAGUGUAGUGCAGUGUAGGGCUGCAGCCAGAGUACUGAGGAUAGUUAGCAAGAGAGAUCAUAUUUCUCCUAUGCUGGUUUCUCUUCAUUGGCUUCCUGUGAAAUGUAGAAUAGAAUUCAAAAUCCUUCUUCUGACAUAUAAAGCUCUUAACAACCACUCUCCAUCAUAUCUUAAAGACCUGAUAGUACCAUAUUAUCCUAGCAGAACUCUUCGCUCUCAGACUGCAGGCUUACUUGGAGAAGUGACCUGUAACUUCUCUCCAAAAGUAGAAUGGGAGGCAGAGCCUUCAGUUAUUAGCUCCUCUCCUGUGGAACCAGCUCCCAGUUUGGGUUCUGGAGGCGGACACCCUCUCUA